rnacentral:Y_RNA from 1 species
GCUUGGUCCGAUUGCAGUGGUACUUUUAAUUAAUUGAUCACAGUCAGUUACAGGUUUCUUUGUCCGUUCUCCACUCCCACUGCUUCACUUGAGCAUUCUUUU